ACGAACGCUGGCGGCGUGCCUAAUACAUGCAAGUAGAACGCUGAAGGAGGAGCUUGCUUCUCUGGAUGAGUUGCGAACGGGUGAGUAACGCGUAGGUAACCUGCCUGGUAGCGGGGGAUAACUAUUGGAAACGAUAGCUAAUACCGCAUAAUAGCAGUUAUUGCAUGAUAACUGUUUGAAAGGUGCAAUUGCACCACUACCAGAUGGACCUGCGUUGUAUUAGCUAGUUGGUGGGGUAACGGCUCACCAAGGCGACGAUACAUAGCCGACCUGAGAGGGUGAUCGGCCACACUGGGACUGAGACACGGCCCAGACUCCUACGGGAGGCAGCAGUAGGGAAUCUUCGGCAAUGGACGGAAGUCUGACCGAGCAACGCCGCGUGAGUGAAGAAGGUUUUCGGAUCGUAAAGCUCUGUUGUAAGAGAAGAACGAGUGUGAGAGUGGAAAGUUCACACUGUGACGGUAUCUUACCAGAAAGGGACGGCUAACUACGCG
rnacentral:rRNA from 1 species